GGUUGAUCCUGCCAGUCUGCAAAGCUUGACUUGGAAAUUAAGCCAUGCAUGUCUAAGUAUAAGUAUUAUAAAGCGAAACUGCGAAUGGCUCAUUAAAACAGUUGUAAUUUAUUUGAUGAUUUUCUUACAUGGAUAACCGUGGGAAACUAGGGCUAAUACAUGCGUGAGACCUGCAAAGGUCGUAUUUAUUAGUUUCAAACCAAUACAGAAAUGUAUUGUGAGGAAUCAAAAUAACUGAUCGGAGCUGAUUUAUCAGCUGAAUCAUUCAAGCUUCUGACCUAUCAGCUUGAUGU
rnacentral:rRNA from 1 species